rnacentral:rRNA from 1 species
CCUACGGGAGGCAGCAGUGAGGAAUAUUGGUCAAUGGGCGCGAGCCUGAACCAGCCAAGUCGCGUGAGGGAGGACGGCCCUACGGGUUGUAAACCUCUUUUGCCGGGGAGCAACGGGCGCCACGUGUGGCGUCACUGAGAGUACCCGGAGAAAAAGCAUCGGCUAACUCCGUGCCAGCAGCCGCGGUAAUACGGAGGAUGCGAGGUUUAUCCGGAUUUAUUGGGUUUAAAGGGUGCGUAGGCGGAUCGUUAAGGAAGUGGGCAAAUUGCGGGGCUAACCCCAUCCUUGCCAUUGACACUGGCGUUCUUGAGUGGAGGUGAAGUAGGCGGAAUGCGUGGUGUAGCGGUGAAAUGCAUAGAUAUCACGCAGAACCCCGAUUGCGAAGGCAGCAUGCCGGCUUCCGACUGACGCUGAAGCACGAAAGCGUGGGGAUCGAACAGGAUUAGAUACCCGAGUAGUC